ACAGUUUCCACUGCUGUGCAGCAGGCCAGAGUGAAAAGGGAUUUCCAUGCCAUAGCUAGAUUUCACAAUGUCAUUGGAGCAAUUGACUGCACCCACAUCUCAAUAAAAGCACCAUCAUUGAACGAAUUCAACGUCGUCGACAGAAAAGGUUUCCAUUCUGUCAAUGUGCAGGUCAUCUGUGAUUCACAUUUGGAAUUGUUGAAUUUAGUGGACAAAUGGCCAGGUUGGACACAUGAAUAAUUCAUUGUGCAGAACAGUUCAGUUGGUCUUAACCUCCAGGAAGGAGCUGUUGAGGAUGGACGGCUCAUUGGAGACCGGGGCUACCCAUUAAAAACAUGGCUAAUGACUCCCCUCACAAACCCCUCAAACCAACAAGUGGCCAGGUUUGCUACAUUGUCAAGGCUUGCAGUGCGCUCCACAACAUUGCAAUCAAAAACAGCAUUCCACUGAAUGAUCCACCCAGACCCGAUGAGCCCAUGCCUGACAGGGAGUGUUUCCCACCACCCAUAGCCCUGGCACUGAGGACAAUAGUCAAUAUCGGUUUUAGGACUGAUUCAGUCCUGAAGCGCUCGCCAAAGAGGACACCGUUCUUGUAGGCCUGGGGAUGAGGGGGUCAGGCAAAUCACCCACAUCUGUCAAGAUUUCAUGUCUAAAUAUGGUUGCAAAAAUAAAGC